rnacentral:rRNA from 1 species
UACGUAGGCGGACUAAUAAGUCAGUGGUGAAAUCUUUCGGCUCAACCGAGAAACUGCCAUUGAUACUGUUAGUCUUGAGUUCGGUUGAGGUAGGCGGAAUGUGUAAUGUAGCGGUGAAAUGCUUAGAUAUUACACAGAACACCAGUUGCGUAGGCAGCUUACUAGACCGACACUGACGCUGAGGCACGAAAGCGUGGGGAGCGAACAGGAUUAGAUACCCUGGUAGUCC